AAUGGAGUCAUUUGGGAGAUGGAGGCACAAAGAUCAAAGUCCAUGGUCAUUCUUGUCUACAUAGCAAACAUGAGGGCAGAAACACAAAGAGCCUCAGUUGACAAGAGAAGAGGAAGCAAGAGUAGAACCACAAAUGCAUCUUGACCUUCAUCUGUCAACCUGGAUCUUUGUGCCUAUCAAGAAUGGAAUUGCCA